rnacentral:lncRNA from 1 species
AAUUUUUUUUUUUUUUAGCUAUAUAAUAGGCAAUCUAGCUUUUUUUUUUUUUUUUUAAAUAAGUAACACGCUAUCCGCUUCGUUUAUUUUAUUUAAAAAUAAAUUUAGCUGAAAAUAUGAAUCAAUUAGGAUUCAAAUUUGAAACUUUAAAUACCAAUCAUCAAGUUCUUUGCCACUUGCUUUAGAAACAGCCGAUAUAGGCAAUCUAGCUUGAAAGAAGUAAC